rnacentral:rRNA from 1 species
UUGGAGGGCAAGUCUGGUGCCAGCAGCCGCGGUAAUUCCAGCUCCAAUAGCGUAUAUUAAAGUUGUUGCAGUUAAAAAGCUCGUAGUUGAAUUUCGGGGUUCUACCGUUGGUCAGGCAAUAGUCUGUACUGGCGUGUGGAAUUUCUACCUUCUGGGGAACCAUCAUGUUAUUAGUUUAGCGUGGUGGGAAACCAGGACCUUUACCUUGAAAAAAUUAGAGUGUUCAAAGCAGGCUUACGUCUGAAUACAUUAGCAUGGAAUAAUAAAAUAGGACAGUGGUCCUGUUUUGUUGGUUUCUGAAUCACCGUAAUGAUUAAUAGGGAUAGUUGGGGGCAUUAGUAUUCAAUUGUCAGAGGUGAAAUUCUUGGAUUUAUUGAAGACUAACUUCUGCGAAAGCAUUUGCCAAGGAUGUUUUCAUUAAUUAAAAACAAAAGUUAGGGGAUCGAAGACGAUCAGAUGCCGUCGUAGUCUUAACCAUAAACUAUGCCGACUAGGGAUCAGACGAUGUUAAUUUUUUAAUGACUCGUUCGGCGCCUUACGGGAAAC